rnacentral:rRNA from 1 species
CCUACGGGCGGCAGCAGUGAGGAAUAUUGGUCAAUGGACGAGAGUCUGAACCAGCCAAGUAGCGUGAAGGAUGACUGCCCUAUGGGUUGUAAACUUCUUUUAUAUGGGAAUAAAACGUUCCACGUGUGGGAUUUUGUAUGUACCAUAUGAAUAAGGAUCGGCUAACUCCGUGCCAGCAGCCGCGGUAAUACGGAGGAUCCGAGCGUUAUCCGGAUUUAUUGGGUUUAAAGGGAGCGUAGGUGGAUUGUUAAGUCCGUUGUGAAAGUUUGCGGCCCAACCGUAAAAUUGCAGUUGAAACUGGCAGUCUUGAGUACAGUAGAGGUGGGCGGAAUUCGUGGUGUAGCGGUGAAAUGCUUAGAUAUCACGAAGAACUCCGAUUGCGAAGGCAGUUCACUGGACUGCAACUGACACUGAGGCUCGAAAGUGUGGGUAUCAAACAGGAUUAGAUACCCUUGUAGUC